UCCGGAGGGUGCGAUCGUUACCCGGAUUUACUGGGUGUAAGGGGCGUGUAGGCGGUCUCUCAAGUCCGAUGCUAAAGACCGAAGCUCAACUUCGGGGGUGCGUUGGAUACUGUGAGGCUAGACGGUCGGAGAGGGUAGCGGAAUUUCCGGAGUAGCGGUGAAAUGCGCAGAUACCGGAAGGAACGCCAAUAGCGAAAGCAGCUACCUGGACGAUUUGUGACGCUGAGGCGCGAAAGCGUGGGGAGAAAACCGG
rnacentral:rRNA from 1 species